GAUGAACGCUGGCGGCGUGCCUAAUACAUGCGAGUCGAGCGAACAGACGAGGAGCUUGCUCCUCUGACGUUAGCGGCGGACGGGUGAGUAACACGUGGAUAACCUACCUAUAAGACUGGGAUAACUUCGGGAAACCGGAGCUAAUACCGGAUAAUAUAUUGAACCGCAUGGUUCAGUAGUGAAAGACGGUUUUGCUGUCACUUAUAGAUGGAUCCGCGCCGCAUUAGCUAGUUGGUAAGGUAACGGCUUACCAAGGCAACGAUGCGUAGCCGACCUGAGAGGGUGAUCGGCCACACUGGAACUGAGACACGGUCCAGACUCCUACGGGAGGCAGCAGUAGGGAAUCUUCCGCAAUGGGCGAAAGCCUGACGGAGCAACGCCGCGUGAGUGAUGAAGGUCUUCGGAUCGUAAAACUCUGUUAUUAGGGAAGAACAAAUGUGUAAGUAACUAUGCACGUCUUGACGGUACCUAAUCAGAAAGCCACGGCUAACUACGUG
rnacentral:rRNA from 1 species